rnacentral:rRNA from 1 species
UACGGAGGAUCCGAGCGUUAUCCGGAUUUAUUGGGUUUAAGGGUGCGCAGGCGGGAGAUUAAGUCGGCGGUGAAAUUUUGCAGCUCAACUGUAAAAGUGCCUUCGAAACUGGUUUCCUUGAGUGUGGAUGAAGUAGGCGGAAUUUGUGGUGUAGCGGUGAAAUGCAUAGAUAUCACGAGGAACUCCGAUUGCGCAGGCAGCUUACUAAGCCAUAACUGACGCUCAAGCACGAAGGCGUGGGGAUCAAACAGGAUUAGAUACCCGCGUA